rnacentral:rRNA from 1 species
UUUAGUUUUAAAAUCUUCUGGAGUAGUAAAAGUUAAAGUCUUUAAACUCAAAAAAUUUGGCGGUAUUUUAUCUUAUCAGAGGAACCUGUUUAUUGAUUGAUAUUCCACAACUAUAAUUUACUUUUAUCAAAAUACUUGUAUACCGCCGUCAUGAACAUAUUAAGAAAUCAAUUUUCGUUAAUUUUUAUUUAAGUCAUGUUAGGUCAAGGUGCAGUUUAUAAAAGGUUAAAAUGGGUUACUAUAAGUAUUAUGAAUGAAUGAAUAUAAGUUAUUAUAUAAUAAAAUUGGAUUUGAAAGUAAGGUGUAUUAUAGAAAUAAUAUGAAUUUAGAUUCUAAAAUAUGU